rnacentral:rRNA from 1 species
UACGAAGGGGGCUAGCGUUGUUCGGAUUUACUGGGCGUAAAGCGCACGUAGGCGGGUUGUUAAGUCAGGGGUGAAAUCCUGGAGCUCAACUCCAGAACUGCCUUCGAUACUGGAGAGCUUGAGUCCGGGAGAGGUGAGUGGAACUGCGAGUGUAGAGGUGAAAUUCGUAGAUAUUGGGAAGAACACCGGUGGCGAAGGCGGCGACCUGGUCCGAUACUGACGCUGAGGCGCGAAAAGCGUGGGGGAGCAAACAGG